CGGAGAGAACUCGGGAGAAGGAACUCGGCAAAUUGACACCGUAACUUCGGAAGAAGGUGUGCCUUUAGUAGGUGAACCAUUUACUUGGGGAGCCCAAUGAGGUUGCAAAAAAUCGGUGGCUGCGACUGUUUAUUAAAAACACAGCACUCUGCAAACACGAAAGUGGACGUAUAGGGUGUGACGCCUGCCCGGUGCUGGAAGAUUAAAUGAUGGGGUGCAAGCUCUUGAUUGAAGUCCCAGUAAACGGCGGCCGUAACUAUAACGGUCCUAAGGUAGCGAAAUUCCUUGUCGGGUAAGUUCCGACCUGCACGAAUGGCGUAACGAUGGCCACACUGUCUCCUCCCGAGACUCAGCGAAGUUGAAAUGUUUGUGAUGAUGCAAUCUCCCCGCGGAAAGACGGAAAGACCCCAUGAACCUUUACUGUAGCUUUGUAUUGGACUUUGAACAGAUCUGUGUAGGAUAGGUGGGAGGCUUUGAAGUAGGGUCGCUAGAUCUUAUGGAGCCAACGUUGAAAUACCACCCUGGUGUGUUUGAGGUUCUAACCUAGGUCCAUUAUCUGGAUCGGGGACAGUGCAUGGUAGGCAGUUUGACUGGGGCGGUCUCCUCCCAAAGCGUAACGGAGGAGUUCGAAGGUACGCUAGUUACGGUCGGACAUCGUGACGAUAGUGCAAUGGCAUAAGCGUGCUUAACUGCGAGACUGACAAGUCGAGCAGAUGCGAAAGCAGGACAUAGUGAUCCGGUGGUUCUGUAUGGAGGGGCCAUCGCUCAACGGAUAAAAGGUACUCUGGGGAUAACAGGCUGAUACCGCCCAAGAGUUCAUAUCGACGGCGGUGUUUGGCACCUCGAUGUCGGCUCAUCUCAUCCUGGGGCUGUAGCCGGUCCCAAGGGUAUGGCUGUUCGCCAUUUAAAGAGGUACGUGAGCUGGGUUUAAAACGUCGUGAGACAGUUUGGUCCCUAUCUUCCGUGGGCGCUGCAGAUUUGAGGAAGCCUGCUCCUAGUACGAGAGGACCGGAGUGGACACACCUCUGGUGUAUCGGUUGUCACGCCAGUGGCAUUGCCGAGUAGCUAAGUGUGGAAGAGAUAACCGCUGAAAGCAUCUAAGCGGGAAACUCGUUUCAAGAUGAGAUCUGCCGGGGCCUUGAGCCCCCUAAAGAGUCGUUCAAGACCAGGACGUUGAUAGGUCAGGUGUGGAAGCGCAGUAAUGCGUUAAGCUAACUGAUACUAAUUGCUCGUGCGGCUUGACC
rnacentral:rRNA from 1 species